GAGGAUCCAAGCGUUAUCCGGAAUCAUUGGGUUUAAAGGGUCCGUAGGUGGAUAAUUAAGUCAGAGGUGAAAUCAUGCAGCUCAACUGUAAAAUUGCCUUUGAAACUGGUUAUCUUGAGUUAUUAUGAAGUAGUUAGAAUAUGUAGUGUAGCGGUGAAAUGCAUAGAUAUUAUAUAGAAUACCAAUUGCGAAGGCAGAUUACUAAUAAUCAACUGACACUGAUGGACGAAAGCGUGGGUAGCGAACAGGAUUAGAUACCCUGGUAGUCCACGCCGUAAACGAUGGUUACUAGCUGUUUGGACUUCGGUCUGAGUGGCUAAGCGAAAGUGAUAAGUAACCCACCUGGGGAGUACGUUCGCAAGAAUGAAACUCAAAGGAAUUGACGGGGGCCCGCACAAGCGGUGGAGCAUGUGGUUUAAUUCGAUGAUACGCGAGGAACCUUACCAGGGCUUAAAUGUAAGUUGCAUUAGUUAGAGAUAGCUAUUUCUUCGGACCACUUACAAGGUGCUGCAUGGUUGUCGUCAGCUCGUGCCGUGAGGUGUCAGGUUAAGUCCUAUAACGAGCGCAACCCCUGUUGUUAGUUGCCAGCGAGUCAUGUCGGGAACUCUAGCAAGACUGCCAGUGCAAACUGUGAGGAAGGUGGGGAUGACGUCAAAUCAUCACGGCCCUUACGUCCUGGGCUACACACGUGCUACAAUGGUAGGUACAGAGAGCAGCCACUGCGCGAGCAGGAGCGAAUCUACAAAACCUAUCACAGUUCGGAUCGGAGUCUGCAACUCGACUCCGUGAAGCUGGAAUCGCUAGUGAUCGGAUAUCAGCCAUGAUCCGGUGAAUACGUUCCCGGGCCUUGUACACACCGCCCGUCAAGCCAUGGAAGUUGGAAGUGCCUGAAGUCCGUCACCGCAAGGAGCGGCCUAGGGUAAAGUCGAUAACUAGGGCUAAGUCGUAACAAGGUAGCCGUACCGGAAGGUGCGGCUGGAACACCUCCUUUCUAGAGAAAGACGACUAAAGGUAAACGUGAAGGAAAGAAAUUGUUUGUUCUCACAGCUGUUAAUUAAAAAAGAUACCAAUAAGAAAAAGUAGAGUCUCAUAGCUCAGCUGGUUAGAGCGCUACACUGAUAAUGUAGAGGUCGGCAGUUCGAGUCUGCCUGAGACUACUAAUUUUUUUUAUAUAAUUGGAAAUUCUAGAAGUUUGAGUAGUAGUUAAGUACUAACUACUAACUACUAUGUACUAACUUUUAGUAUAUGGGGGAUUAGCUCAGCUGGCUAGAGCGCCUGCCUUGCACGCAGGAGGUCAUCGGUUCGACUCCGAUAUUCUCCACAACGGCUCAACGUUUAUAGUGAUUUAUCAUUAUAAGUUCGCCACACGAUCAUUGACAUAUUGAAAAAGAUACAUGAAACAUUAGAUAUAUUUAUAUAUUUAAUAGAAAAAGUAAAUUAAAAAUUGUUGCGAGCUAGCAAUAAUUAAGAGUAAACUCAUUAAAAAGACAAAAGUGCAAUAAGCUAAAUAAGGGCGUAUGGGGAAUGCCUAGGCUCUCAGAGGCGAUGAAGGGCGUGAUAAGCUGCGAAAAGUUGCGGGGAUUGGCACAUACAAUUUGAUCCGCAAAUAU
rnacentral:sRNA from 1 species